rnacentral:rRNA from 1 species
CAUGUUUUAAUGAAUAUUAAUAUUAAAUUUGCCCUGCCCAAUGAUUAAUGUUUUAAUGGCCGCAGUAAAUUGACUGUGCAAAGGUAGCAUAAUAAUUUGUCUUUUAAUUGAGGACUGGAAUGAAUGGGUGGACGUAAAAAUUUCUGUCUCUAUUUUUAUAAAAUUGAAUUUUACUUUUAAGUUAAAAGGCUAAUUGUGUAAUUAAAUAUUAUUAAGGGACGAAAAGACCCUAUCAAGUUUUAUAGUAUUAAAUAAUUGUUUUCAUUAUUAAUUUUUAUUAUUAUUUUUCUGGGGUGGAAUUAAUAUAAAUCUAUUAAAAAUUUUAUAAUUUUAUAAUUUAUUAUUGAUCUUUUUUAUUACUAAUUAAUAAAUUACUGUAGGGGUAACAGCAUAAUUAUUUUGGUAAGUUCAAAUUUAUAAAAUAGAUUAUGACCUCGAUGUUGGAUUAAAUUUACCUAAAGUUAAUGAAGAAGUUAUUAAGGUUAGUCUGUUCGACUAUUAAAAAUUUACGUG